rnacentral:rRNA from 1 species
UACGAAGGGGGGCUAGCGUUGUUCGGAAUUACUGGGCGUAAAGCGUACGUAGGCGGAUUGUUAAGUGAGGGGUGAAAUCCCGAGGCUCAACCUCGGAACUGCCUUUCAUACUGGCAAUCUUGAGUCCGGGAGAGGUGAGUGGAACUCCUAGUGUAGAGGUGAAAUUCGUAGAUAUUAGGAAGAACACCAGUGGCGAAGGCGGCUCACUGGCCCGGAACUGACGCUGAGGUACGAAAGCGUGGGGAGCAAACAGG